rnacentral:rRNA from 1 species
GAUGAACGCUGGCGGCGUGCCUAAUACAUGCAAGUCGAGCGGACAGACGAGGCGUUUGCUCCUCUGACGUUAGCCGCGGACGGGUGAAUAACACGUGGAUAACGUACCUAUAAUACUGAGAUAACUUCGGGAAACGGGAGAUAAUCCCGUAGAAUAUAUUGCACCGCGGGGUUCAAUAGUGAAAGACGGUUUUGCGGGCACGUAUAGAUGCAUCCGCGCCGCUUUAGCUAGUUGGUAAGGUAACGGCAUACGAAGGCAACCCUGCGUAACCGACGUGAGAGAGUGAUCGGCCACACUAGAGCUGAGACACGGUCAAGACUACUACGGGAGGCAGCAGACGGGAAUCUUACGCAAUGGGCGAAAGUUUGACGGAGCAACGCCGCGUGAGUGAUGACGGUCUUCGGAUCGUAAAACUCUGUUAUUAGGGAAGAACAAAUGUGUAAGGAACUAUGCACGUAUUGACGGUACCUAAUCAGAAAGCCACGGCUAACUACGUG